rnacentral:rRNA from 1 species
UACGAAGGGGGCUAGCGUUGCUCGGAAUCACUGGGCGUAAAGCGCACGUAGGCGGAUUGCUAAGUCAGGGGUGAAAUCCUGGAGCUCAACUCCAGAACUGCCUUUGAUACUGGCGAUCUCGAGUCCGGGAGAGGUGAGUGGAACUGCGAGUGUAGAGGUGAAAUUCGUAGAUAUCUGGAGGAACACCGGUGGCGAAGGCGGCAUCCUGGACCAAUUCUGACGCUGAGUGAGCGAAAGCCAGGGGAGCAAACGGG